rnacentral:lncRNA from 1 species
AGGUAACUUACCCUUGCUAAUGCUCUGAGCUGCCUUUCCCACUGGAAUGUUCCCAGGUGUUCAGAUUUGGAAUCAUUUACUUUUCACCAUUUUGACUUGAGAAUAUAGACCUUUGCGAUAUCAGCAUCAGGAAAGUGGUCUGAGACAUCACACAAGCCUUCCGGAAAGAACCCAUCUGCCUCUUCUGUCUGAACUAAUGUGUAGACCCCAUCGCCACAGGCUGCAGCCCCAGCU